rfam:Triticum aestivum genome assembly, contig: Triticum_aestivum_CS42_TGACv1_scaffold_226728_3B
UUUCUACUCCCACCGUCUGAAAAAACUUGUCCCAAGCUUGUCCCUCUAAUGGAUGUAUCUAGCACUAACUUGGUGAUAGAUAUAUCCAUUUGAGAGACAAGGUUUUCCGGACGGAGGGAGUAAUAC